UACAGAGGUCUCAAGCGUUGUUCGGAUUCAUUGGGCGUAAAGGGUGCGUAGGUGGCGAGGUAAGUCAGGUGUGAAAUUUCGGAGCUUAACUCCGAAACUGCAUUUGAUACUGCCUUGCUUGAGGACUGGAGAGGAGACUGGAAUUCACGGUGUAGCAGUGAAAUGCGUAGAUAUCGUGAGGAAGACCAGUGGCGAAGGCGCCUGACUGGCCAAACAUUGACGCUGAGGCGCGAAAGCGUGGGUAGCAAACAGG
rnacentral:rRNA from 1 species